GUCUUUGGCUGUCCGAGUUGUAAACUAGAGAAGUGAUGCCCGCGCUGGACCGUGUACAAGUCUCCUGGAAUGGAGCGUCAUAGAGGGUGAGAAUCCCGUCUCUGACACGGACUACCAGGGCUUUGUGGUACGCUCUCAAAGAGUCGAGUUGUUUGGGAAUGCAGCUCAAAAUGGGUGGUAAAUUCCAUCUAAAGCUAAAUAUUGGCGAGAGACCGAUAGCGAACAAGUACCGUGAGGGAAAGAUGAAAAGAACUUUGGAAAGAGAGUUAAACAGUACGUGAAAUUGCUGAAAGGGAAACGCUUGAAGUCAGUCGCGUUGGCCGGGGAUCAGCCUCGCUUUUUGCGUGGUGUACUUUCCGGUUGACGGGUCAGCAUCAAUUUUGACUGCUGGAAAAAGGCAUGAGGAAUGUGGCAGCUCCGGCUGUGUUAUAGCUUCUUGUCACAUACAGCGGUUGGGAUUGAGGAACUCAGCACGCCGCAAGGCCGGGUUUCGACCACGUUCGUGCUUAGGAUGCUGGCAUAAUGGCUUUAAGCGACCCGUCUUGAAACACGGACCAAGGAGUCUAACAUGCCUGCGAGUGUUUGGGUGGAAAACCCGAGCGCGUAAUGAAAGUGAAAGUUGAGAUCCCUGUCGUGGGGAGCAUCGACGCCCGGACCAGAACUUUUGGGACGGAUCCGCGGUAGAGCAUGUGUGUUGGGACCCGAAAGAUGGUGAACUAUGCCUGAAUAGGGUGAAGCCAGAGGAAACUCUGGUGGAGGCUCGUAGCGAUUCUGACGUGCAAAUCGAUCGUCAAAUUUGKGUAUAGGGGCGAAAGACU
rnacentral:rRNA from 1 species